rnacentral:tRNA from 1 species
GCCGGAAUAUCUCAAUGGUAGAGACUCCGCCUCAUAAGCGGCACUAUCGCGGUUCGAGUCCGCGUUCUGGCACCA